rnacentral:rRNA from 1 species
UACGAAGGGGGCUAGCGUUGUUCGGAAUCACUGGGCGUAAAGGCGCGUAGGCGGCUUUAUAAGUCGGGGGUGAAAGCCUGUGGCUCAACCACAGAAUUGCCUUCGAUACUGUAGAGCUUGAGACCGGAAGAGGUAAGUGGAACUGCGAGUGUAGAGGUGAAAUUCGUAGAUAUUCGCAAGAACACCAGUGGCGAAGGCGGCUUACUGGUCCGGUUCUGACGCUGAGGCGCGAAAGCGUGGGGAGCAAACAGG